UGGAUGUAGUGCACGUCGCAGUACAGCGCGGCGGGAAGAAGACCAGGGAGCGUAAAUCAAUCUGCCAAGUGGCAGCGCUGUUUGGAGCUGGAGAGUUGAUCCAAAUUGAUCUAAGAUCAACAUUCAAAAGAUCAGAGGAGCUACUGAGAUCAAGCCAUCAGAUAGCCCAACUGAUUCCACAGCCUGGAAGGGAGCGUGAUGUGUUCCAACGAACAUUUGCUGGAAGCGGGAGCGAAUCUUUUCCUAACCGGGCAGAUGCAAGUGAGUAUCAGCAAGAAAUAAUCUACUGCAAGAAAAGUUAUUCCAAAAUAGUCUUUUAUUGCUGUUAAAUAAAUUCAACAAAUGCCAUUUUACAGCCCGUCUCACAACCCUUCGUGACCUUCCCCACCUAUCCUCCUUCCUUCCUACAAUUAUUCUCAAGGCAGUUCUGAGCAGUUAAAAGGGAAAGUGGGUUUUGAUUGACAAUUUUCCUCUACUUCCUUGUGUUGCUUUUUCAUAGAAAAGUUUUCCAUGAAGAAAUCAGUUCAGACAAAUAUCUGCAUAUAGAAAUAUGGGACGCUGGGCAGUGCAAUCAGCACAGAACAAAGCUUGCCAUUCAUAUGCAAUUAUCGCAAAAUCUGAGAAACUAAAAAGUAAUGCUUAUGCAUACAGCCGAGUUGUAUGGAGCCAAGAUGCUGCAUCCAUUGAUAUCUAUGGGCUAGAAUAUACUUCCAUCUGCCUCCAACAUAAAAUACUGCAGCUGGUAUUUUCCUCUAGAAGAACACCGC